rnacentral:misc_RNA from 1 species
CAUUUAAAAGCAUGACAGAGAUUACAGUGACACUCUGAAGAAAUUUAUAAAUACGUGUGGAGUAUAACGCACCAAGUUGUUUUAUACGACCUUGUGUUAGUGACCUGAAAAGUGCUAACAUCGUCCUCAACGCUGUCAACAUGACCACAAAUCGGGAGAAACUCGCCCAAGAUUUCGGACAUCUUAACAUUGCUCACUACGCUCCCCAACAAUAUUCAGCUACAAAAGGUAAAAAAAUCGCCCCCGUAGUUCCACCGAAGCCUAAGAAAAAAAUAAUUCCCGAACUUGCAAACCCCAACGUCCAGUUUUCGCAAACGGAAAAACAGAAUCGGGAGAAAAACUACCAGCCAGUUCUAGAACCUGGACAUGAGGAAAAGCUGGAACAAAACUACACCCUUCUCCGGGAUUCCAAGUACUCCAGUACAGUAGAGACAAAAUACCCAGUUAAAGAAGACGAAACUCGUCAGUUAGCUAAACAAAAGUAUCUUCCUGUUGAAGAUGUUAGAUAUGAAAGUAACACACAAAAACUUGAGAGUGUCGAAGGUCUUCCGGAGAAUCGUUAUACGACUUCAACAGAAAAACAAACUCGUACUGUUAGAAAUCGGAUGGAGCCAGCGCCAUCUAGUGUGGGCAGACCAUUGUAUUCUUCCUAUAGUACUCUUUCCACUGAUGACGAACUUCCACCUCCACCACCACCACCACAGACAACAAGAUAUUCUCCUCCCAGCAGUUAUGCAUUCCCUCCUCCGCCACCACUACCACCACAGAGAACAAGGUAUUCUCCUCCCAGCAGUUAUGCAUUCCCUCCUCCACCACCUCCUCCAGAAGAGCAUCAACUUCAGUCUCCAAUGAGAACUUAUGAUACGGGUCCAAUGUACAACCCCAUCGUUCCUAGACCAGCCAACAGUCAAAUGCCUUCUAAGUCACUGCUCUAUUCCGACCAUCACCAUGAAAGGAAGCCAGCCACUGGAAUGAUGACCCAACCUUUGGAAGGAGGACCAUCCACUGGACAAAAAGUUCAGAUUGACGAUCUGACAGACCUUCUGGUACGAAGCAUGGAAAAUUCAAGUGAUCCUGAUUUUUUAGGAAUUUGUUACAAAUGUGGUGAAAACGUGCUUGGAGCAGAAGGUGGUUGUACAGCAAUGAGUCAAAUUUACCAUAGGCAUUGCUUCACUUGCCAUGUUUGCCAUAAGGAACUGCAAGGAAAAUCAUUUUAUAUAGUGGAUGGGAACCCACACUGUGAAGAAGAUUACUUGAAUUCUCUUGAAAAGUGCUAUGUCUGUGGAAAUCCCAUUUGUGAAAGGAUCUUACGAGCUACUGGCAAUCCAUAUCAUCCAGAGUGUUUUAAGUGUGUAGUUUGUGGGAAGUGUCUUGACAGUGUCCCAUUCACAGUAGAUGCUACCAACCAGAUUUACUGCAUUGAUGAUUUUCACAAGUAAAAAAAUUUGCUCCUAGAUGUUGUGUGUGUAAACAACCAAUCAUGCCCGAACCAGACCUGCAAGAGACGGUCAGAGUUGUGGCCUUGGACAGAAGUUUUCACGUAGACUGUUACAGAUGCGAGGAUUGCAACAUUUUGCUGUCAUCAGAAGCUGAAGGCUAUGGUUGUUAUCCUUUGGAUGAUCACAUUUUGUGCAAAAACUGCAAUGCCAAACGUGUCCAAACCCUGACUUCUCGGACAACAACAGAACUUUAGCCCAUCUACAGUACACAAU